rnacentral:rRNA from 4 species
UAUAACCGGCGAUACCCGAAUGGGGAAACCCAGUGUGAUUCGUCACACUAUCAUUAACUGAAUCCAUAGGUUAAUGAGGCGAACCGGGGGAACUGAAACAUCUAAGUACCCCGAGGAAAAGAAAUCAACCGAGAUUCCCCCAGUAGCGGCGAGCGAACGGGGAGGAGCCCAGAGCCUGAAUCAGCAUGUGUGUUAGUGGAAGCGUCUGGAAAGGCGCGCGAUACAGGGUGACAGCCCCGUACACAAAAGCGCAUGUGCUGUGAGCUCGAUGAGUAGGGCGGGACACGUGGUAUCCUGUCUGAAUAUGGGGGGACCAUCCUCCAAGGCUAAAUACUCCUGACUGACCGAUAGUGAACCAGUACCGUGAGGGAAAGGCGAAAAGAACCCCGGCGAGGGGAGUGAAAAAGAACCUGAAACCGU